UACGUAGGGCGCAAGCGUUGUCCGGAAUUAUUGGGCGUAGAGAGCUCGUAGGCGGCUUGUCACGUCGGGUGUGAAAGCCCGGGGCUUAACCCCGGGUCUGCAUUCGAUACGGGCUAGCUAGAGUGUGGUAGGGGAGAUCGGAAUUCCUGGUGUAGCGGUGAAAUGCGCGGAUAUCAGGAGGAACACCGGUGGCGAAGGCGGAUCUCUGGGCCAUUACUGACGCUGAGGAGCGAAAGCGUGGGGAGCGAACAGG
rnacentral:rRNA from 1 species